GUUGCCAUAGCAACGUUUGAUUCAUCCGGGAAGCGACACCGCCGGCAUUUCACCUGAAACGACAUAAAUGACCUUAAUUUGAAGAAAUACUCGUUUAAAUGGUCUUUAUUUGGUCAAUUUUUCAUAGAAAAGGCUGACGAAUGAUGGCUGAUGCAAUAUCGCUUAUGAGCAGCACCAUGUCCACCAGUAAUCUGCCACCCCUGCGAAACCUGCCCAGCUGGUCCAGGGUUCGAGACCUGGACAGGGUGAGGUACCCCAGACUUCUUUCUAGUGACUAUAUGGUCAGAUCUCCACCUGUGGACAUCAGGAGCCCUAAAGCAGCGGCUCUGCCCAGGACAGAUGCACACGACACGCGCAUCACCUCUCUGGAGAAAGAUAUUCUGUUCCUCCAACAACAGCAUACAGACACACUGGAGAGACUGCAUGCAGAAAUGGAAGAUCUGAAGCGUGUUAAUAAAGAAUUACAGUAUCAGAUGGUUAUGGAACAUGAACAUUCUCCAAAAGAGUCCAGUCAUUCCUCAAAAUCCUGCAGUGAUGGUUCAGCCGAGAAGAAUUUCAGCUCAGAGGCGGGAAGAGGAGGUGCAGUCACAUCACUUCUGCCUCUCAGGAUCACCUGCGGUCUGUCCCAGCAUCCCCGAACCCCCACGCUGAAGGAGUGUGAGGGCAUCAUCCGGCAGCUCUAUCACGCCAACACCUCGCAGUAUCAGGAGCUGCUGCGGAUCAAGACGCUCCUCGGAGACAUCGCCUCCAAAAACAAAUCAUCCGCUGAAGUUUUCUCUCUCGCAAGAGCCUGCCUCUGUGACAACAGCAGGGGUGAAGUUUUCGAGCAUUUACCAAAACUACCUCUCAAACCACUGCCAAAGAAACAGCACCCGAGUCAAGCCGGUAAAGGAGAAACUGUGAUUCUACCAGCCAUCAAACGCAAUUCAGGCGGCACCAUGUCAGAGCGGCAGAGGAGAGCGCAGGACGUGCACAAAACACGCCUCAGAAGAACGGUGAACUCUUGACACCACUGAUGAUGAUGAUGAUGAUGAUGAAGUGGAACAUGACCUUUACGAGAUCUACACAUGAGGAAUGAGUGAGCGGCUGCUGAUCAUGUUUGAUUCCCUAAUGAACUACAUAAGAAUCUUUCCAGAGAAGCAGCCAAAUGUCAAAGUUGAGACGAGAGCUAAGCUGCCUGUCCUUCCAUCCACAGGAAGGUCCGUAAAGUCAGAGACAGAAACAGACACAAUGUAUACAUCAGAGCUUUUAAAUCAAAUCUCUCAUAAUAACUUUUUACCUUGAUUUGAUGUGUGACAUUUCCUUGAUAAUAAGUCUCUUUAAAUAAAUGCACCAGCAACAUAUUAUGA